rnacentral:lncRNA from 1 species
UCUGGACCAAGACCCCACGCCGUGCUUGGUGCAAUAUAACAGAAGUCUGACUGCUGUUACCUUGUCACCAAAAGCGUGCAGUGCCAGGUGACAACUGUGAAUUCUCAGCUGGUUUUUGAAGGCAUUCUUGGUAAUGAUGACUUUGCCUCAUCCCCCAAAGAAACUAACAAAAAAAGAAAAGAAAAAAACAAAUGCCUACACAAAGGAAGAAUGAGAAUACAAAGAGGAAAUUCAAUACUGUGUAUUAACUCACAAAGAGAAACAAUCCCCUGGACGUGCAACUUCAGCAAUCUAGGCUGGACAGUGGGAAAAUAUAUGCUAUUAGGGAUUGUGCAGCCCUGGAGAUAAUCACACAGGAAAUUGAAGGAGUUUCUAUCCUGGGAUGCUUUCAAGACCAGGCAGGUAAAAAUGUGUCUGGCCUAACACAAUACUGUCUUACUUCAAAUAGGCAGUUGGACUAGAGGAUUCAAAAGAUGUCUCCCAACCAAUAUAUUCAAUAAGUGACUAAAUAAUUGCAACAUGUAUUGGAUCACUUCUUGUUUUAAACUAAAUUUGUUAACUAAGGCCUAGUAAGUGAUAUGAAAUAAGUCAUAAGGACACAAUAAUUUGUGCAUUAA